rnacentral:rRNA from 1 species
GAUGAACGCUGGCGGCGUGCUUAACACAUGCAAGUCGAACGGAAAGGCUCCUGCUUGCAGGGGUACUCGAGUGGCGAACGGGUGAGUAACACGUGGGUGAUCUGCCCUGCACUUCGGGAUAAGCCUGGGAAACUGGGUCUAAUACCGGAUAGGACGAUGGUUUGGAUGCCAUUGUGGAAAGUUUUUCGGUGUGGGAUGAGCUCGCGGCCUAUCAGCUUGUUGGUGGGGUAAUGGCCUACCAAGGCGUCGACGGGUAGCCGGCCUGAGAGGGUGUACGGCCACAUUGGGACUGAGAUACGGCCCAGACUCCUACGGGAGGCAGCAGUGGGGAAUAUUGCACAAUGGGCGCAAGCAUGAUGCAGCGACGCCGCGUGGGGGAUGACGGCCUUCGGGUUGUAAACUCCUUUCGCUAGGGACGAAGCGCAAGUGACGGUACCUGGAGAAGAAGCACCGGCUAACUACGUG